GACGAACGCUGGCGGCGUGCUUAACACAUGCAAGUCGAACGGAAAGGCCCUGCUUUUGUGGGGUGCUCGAGUGGCGAACGGGUGAGUAACACGUGAGUAACCUGCCCUUGACUUUGGGAUAACUUCAGGAAACUGGGGCUAAUACCGGAUAGGAGCUCCUGCUGCAUGGUGGGGGUUGGAAAGUUUCGGCGGUUGGGGAUGGACUCGCGGCUUAUCAGCUUGUUGGUGGGGUAGUGGCUUACCAAGGCUUUGACGGGUAGCCGGCCUGAGAGGGUGACCGGCCACAGUGGGACUGAGAUAAGGCCCAGACUCCUACGGGAGGCAGCAGUGGGGAAUAUGGCACAAUGGGCGGAAGCCUGAUGCAGCAACGCCGCGUGCGGGAUGACGGCCUUCGGGUUGUAAACCGCUUUCGCCUGUGACGAAGCGUGAGUGACGGUAAUGGGUAAAGAAGCACCGGCUAACUACGUG
rnacentral:rRNA from 1 species